CUCAAACCAACAAACCAUGAGAUCAUCACCUGAGCCCAAAUUGGGAGUUAGACGCUUUACUGACUGAGCCACCCAGGCGCCCCCAUAUUGUAAUUUUUUAUAGGUAAACUUGAUUGGGGUCUGCUAGAACAAACUAGAUAAGUAAGGUUUGGUUACAUUAAUGCUUGAAAUGGAAAAUACAGAAAGGCAGAUGCAGAAAAAACAAAAGGCAGAACAAAUCUUGUCUUUCAUUUUACGCUUUAUAAGAAACAAUUUGGCCAAUGUCCUUGAUCACUGGUUUUCAGGUUCUAAUCAUUUUGUUCUAGAUGUGUUUUUUGAGCUCUGUAUUUGCCUGCUUUUCAGAAUUUGAGGAUUCCCCCCCCCCGUUUAUUUUUAUGAGUUAAAUGAGUUUCAUUUCAACUCAUUUUGAGCCUGCUCUUGCUACUCUGGGCUAUUUGUAAUAAUGAAAAGUUGGAGUAACUUAAAAUCAGUAGCUGUAAAUCUGAUUUUCAAAGAUAUUUGACAAGAACCCACAGUAAAAUACAUUUUUAUAUCACAGUAGUUACACGCACAUAAACUGAAAAAAUAUUUUGUUAAAUAAUACUUUUAUUUCUUGUGUUGCAAUCUCACAUUUUCUCUUCUAUUUUCUUCGAUGCUGAUCCUGAUCUACUAAAUUGAUUGCAUGAGGCCUAAGACUGGCACCUGCAAAGAGCAUAUUCCUAGCCGUUGGUGGUGACUUUUUUUCUUUAAAAAGAUGCUGCUAAGCGUCCAACAGUGCCCAGGACAGCCCUCCUAGAAUAAGGAAUUUAUCCAGCCUCAAGUAUCAGGAGUGCCCUGCUUAAGAAACUUUAGUUUAACACAAUAGGAUAUAUAUACAAAGAUUCCAUUUACAUUUUACAGACCACUAUAUCUUUUCAAUAUAAUAUAUAGUCCAGAGUAUAAAUGAUUGGCUGCGAUGAAUCAAAAGUAGGAGGGGGAAAAAAAACCC